rnacentral:lncRNA from 1 species
ACACAGAGUUAAAAUAAGGGGUUUGGAAUAGAAUCUAUUAUCUUCAGUUGAAGUUAAAAAAGGCAAACAAACAAAGCAAAAGCAAAAAAUAGACAUAAUUAAAAGAGACAACAAGAAAACUAAAUCUUGCUAAAAAGUACCAUAGAUAAUAAAGUAGUAUCAAUACUGAUAUAUAUGCAUCAGAUGUUAAAGAAUCCAAAUUCUUGGGAAAGUUACAUGAGUUAUAGGAGGAAAUAGACCAUAAAACUUGAUUAAUAGGGGACUUCAAUUUGCCCUCUCAGAUAUAGAUAAAUCUAACCAUAAAAUAAACAAGAAAUAAAUUAAGCAUAUAAAUAGAAUUUUAGAAAAGUUAGAUAUAAACUGCUAAAGAAUAUUGAAUAAGAAGAAAGGAGGAUAUCUAUUUCUCAGCUGUACCUGGCAUCUUUGCAAAAACUGACAACUUAUUAAGGCAGAAAAACCUCACAAAGAAAUGCAGAAAAGCAGAAAUAUUAAAUGACUAUAAUGCAAUAAAAUUACAUUUAACAAAAAAGUUUUUGAAGCAUAGUUUAAGAUCAGGUGGAAACUAGAUAAUCUAAUCCUGAAGAAUGAAAGAACAAAAUAUAGAAUUAGCUCAGAUUUAUAUGACAAAUUACAGUGUAUGAAACACUUUCAGCAGAGAAGUAGGGCAGGUAGAUAGUUUAAACAUUAUUGUUUGUGAUGGUUGCAAUGUAGGUCUUAGAACAAGGCUUCUUAAACCUUUUUGACUCGUUACCCUUUUUUACUUGAGAAAUUUUUACAUGACCCUGGGUAUAUAGAUAUACAAAAUAAGUAUACAAAUAAGACACUUAUUAUCAAUAUCAAUAAUAUUGAGGGGACUUCAUGAAAUCCAAAAUUUUUUCAUCUAAUCAUAAUCUUUUGUAAUUUCAACUUUCUUUAUGUUUAUCAUUCCCUAUCCUUGUUCAUCUUCACUGUUACCUCCAACUUCUCCACUCCAUUUACUGCUUUCCUAGAUCUUCACCCUUAUACUCCGUACCUUCAACCUCCCUUCCUUCCCAAUGUAGACUCUGUUGGUAAAUAAUUUCAGCUGUAUGAUAUUCUCUACUCUCGAAUCUAUUGUUCCCCAAACCACAACUCUGGAUUAUGUCAAUCAUAUUAUUCAUGGAGGAGAUCAUGGAACAAUACAUUAUCUAAUCUCAAUUUGCCCCUCAUUGUGACAAGGCAAUCGUUCUAGGUUUUCUUAUUUGAUUUUUUUUAUCUCACUAAUCUCAGUAGUUGCUUCAAAUUUUUUCUUUCCUUGUCUCCCACAGCAAGUCUUCAUACAUAUAAUAUAUUUCCUCCUCACCUCCAUCUCCUAUAUCCUUCUGCAGGAAAUCUUUUCUGAUCUGUUCAACUGCUAGUGUCUGUUCUCUCAAAUUCUUUUAAUUCCUUUGUUUUUUAUUUAUUCUUUAAAUAUUGAUAUGUUCUUAUUGUCCUUGUUAGAUGGAGCUUCUUGGGAAUAGAGAUGAUUCCCUUUGUAUUUGUAUUCCCAGUGACUAGCACCUUGUUUGGUAAUAGUAGUUAGUUAAUGAAUGUGCUUGUUCAUCUAUCAAAUUGAUUAUUACAAUAUUACUGUGAAGCAAAUGAUUUGCUUCUUUGUUGUUUAGCUGUUUUCAGUCAUACCUGACUCUUUAUGACCCCAUUGUGAGGUUUUCUUGGCAAAGAUACUACAAUGUUUGCCAUUUCCUUCUCCAGUGAAUUAAGGCAAAGAGAGGUCAAAUG